UAUUUAUAAAAAAUAAAAAAUAAAAUUAAAAUUAAAAAAAGUUUCCUUUUCUGGUAGAGAAAUACGCUAGGGUUUUACGGUCUUAUUUAGUACGCGAGGCCUACUUAUUCUUCUCCAUUCCAUGAACGGCGGUGAAGGUUAGGGAGCAGCCGCGUGCCUUCGACUCUAAACAUUUGAAUACUUUUUGUGUAUCUUCGUUAUCGAGGGAGGUUCCAGUUUCGAAUAUCAUAUCAUUAUACUAAUCAGUCAUUGGGCGAUCCGGCUGCGUGCGGGAUCGCAUUCGGUAGCCGAUUGGGCUCUAUCGGCGUUUGCAGUGGAGAUUCCAGUCGCCGUCCAAUGAUCUGGCCGUUGGAUCAGUACAUUUGUGUUGGUGCAAUUGAAUCUUCAACCUCCGUCGAACUUGACUGGCUCAGGGUUUAGGUUGACAAGUGGUGUAAGAUCCUAUCUCGGUUGGAGAGGGGAACAAAGUAGUCCUGUAUCAAAGCUAGACACCGGGCGGUGUACCAGUGAGAGCAUUGGGCCCCCGAGGGGGGUGGAUUAUGAGAUCUCACAUCAAUCAAAGAGGACAAUAUCUGCUGGCGAGU